UGGGGAAUCUUGCGCAAUGGCCGAAAGGCUGACGCAGCGACGCCGCGUGUGGGAGGACGCCUUUCGGGGUGUAAACCACUGUUGCCCGGGACGAACACGGCUAUUCGUAGCCGCUGACGGUACCGGGUGAGGAAGCACCGGCUAACUCCGUGCCAGCAGCCGCGGUAAUACGGAGGGUGCGAGCGUUGUCCGGAAUCAUUGGGCGUAAAGGGCGCGUAGGUGGCCUGGCAAGCGUGCGGUGAAAGCUCGGGGCUCAACCCCGAGUCGGCCGUGCGAACUGCUGGGCUCGAGCACUGUAGAGGCAGGCGGAAUUCCGGGUGUAGCGGUGGAAUGCGUAGAGAUCCGGAAGAACACCGGUGGCGAAGGCGGCCUGCUGGGCAGUGGCUGACACUGAGGCGCGACAGCGUGGGGAGCAAACAG
rnacentral:rRNA from 1 species